rnacentral:rRNA from 1 species
AGAACGAACGCUGGCGGCAGGCUUAACACAUGCAAGUCGAACGCUCGUAGCAAUACGUGAGUGGCAGACGGGUGAGUAACGCGUGGGAACAUACCCUCCGGUUCGGAAUAGCUCAGGGAAACUUGGAUUAAUACCGGAUACGGCUGAGAGGCGAAAGAUUUAUCGCCGGAGGAUUGGCCCGCGUUCGAUUAGCUUGUUGGUGAGGUAACGGCUCACCAAGGCGAUGAUCGAUAGCUGGUCUGAGAGGAUGAUCAGCCACAUUGGGACUGAGACACGGCCCAAACUCCUACGGGAGGCAGCAGUGGGGAAUAUUGGACAAUGGGCGCAAGCCUGAUCCAGCCAUGCCGCGUGAGUGAUGACGGCCUUAGGGUUGUAAAGCUCUUUCGCUCGGGACGAUAAUGACGGUACCGAGAUAAGAAGCCCCGGCUAACUUCGUGCCAGCAGCCGC